AUUGAACGCUGGCGGCAGGCCUAACACAUGCAAGUCGAGCGGAAGAAGGGUGCUUGCUCCUGGAUUCAGCGGCGGACGGGUGAGUAAUGCCUAGGAAUCUGCCUGGUAGUGGGGGAUAACGUCCGGAAACGGGCGCUAAUACCGCAUACGUCCUGAGGGAGAAAGUGGGGGAUCUUCGGACCUCCCGCUAUCGGACGAGCCUAGGUCGGAUUAGCUAGUUGGUGGGGUAAAGGCCUACCAAGGCGACGAUCCGUAACUGGUCUGCGAGGAUGAUCAGUCACACUGGAACUGAGACACGGUCCAGACUCCUACGGGAGGCAGCAGUGGGGAAUAUUGGACAAUGGGCGAAAGCCUGAUCCAGCCAUGCCGCGUGUGUGAAGAAGGUCUUCGGAUUGUAAAGCACUUUAAGUUGGGAGGAAGGGCAGUAAGUUAAUACCUUGCUGUUUUGACGUUACCAACAGAAUAAGCACCGGCUAACUUCGUG
rnacentral:rRNA from 1 species